CAGCAGUGGGGAAUCUUGCACAAUGGGCGAAAGCCUGAUCCAGCCAUGCCGCGUGAGUGAUGAAGGCCUUAGGGUUGUAAAGCUCUUUCACCGGGGAUGAUAAUGACGGUACCUGGAGAAUAAGCCCCGGCUAACUCCGUGCCAGCAGCCGCGGUAAUACGGAGGGGGCUAGCGUUGUUCGGAAUUACUGGGCGUAAAGGGUGCGUAGGCGGAUAUUUAAGUCAGAGGUGAAAUCCCGGAGCUCAACUCCGGAACUGCCUUUGAAACUGGAUGUCUAGAGUGUGGGAGAGGUAAGUGGAAUUCCGAGUGUAGAGGUGAAAUUCGUAGAUAUUCGGAAGAACACCAGUGGCGAAGGCGACUUACUGGACCAUUACUGACGCUGAGGCUCGAAAGCGUGGGGAGCAAACAGGAUUAGAUACCCUGGUAGA
rnacentral:rRNA from 1 species